rnacentral:rRNA from 1 species
AUACGUAGGUGACAAGCGUUAUCCGGAUUUACUGGGCGUAAAGGGCGUGUAGGCGGUCUUGCAAGUCAGAAGUGAAAUUCCUGAGCUCAACUCGGGCGCUGCUUCUGAAACUGCAGGACUUGAGUGCUGGAGGGGAUAGCGGAAUUCCUAGUGGAGCGGUAAAAUGCGCAGAUAUUAGGAAGAACACCGGUGGCGAAGGCGGCUAUCUGGACAGUAACUGACGCUGAGGCGCGAAAGCGUGGGGAGCAAACAGGAUUAGAUACCCUGGUAGUCCACGCUGUAAACGAUGAAUACUAGGUGUGGGGGGACUGACCCCCUCCGUGCCGCAGUUAACACAAUAAGUAUUCCACCUGGGGAGUACGUUCGCAAGAAUGAAACUCAAAGGAAUUGACGGGG